rnacentral:rRNA from 1 species
UAAGACGAGGAUAACGGACUGGAAACGGUCGCGUAAAACUGGAUAGGAUCAUUUGAGGCAUCUCGAAUGAUUUAAAGGGGCUUUCAAGCCACACUUAGAGAAAGGCCUGCGGCGCAUUAGCUAGUUGGUGGGGUAGAGGCCUACCAAGGCGAUGAUGCGUAGCCGGACUGAGAGGUCGAACGGCCACAUUGGGACUGAGACACGGCCCAAACUCCUACGGGAGGCAGCAGUAGGGAAUUUUCGGCAAUGGGGGAAACCCUGACCGAGCAACGCCGCGUGAAUGAAGACGUAUUUCGGUAUGUAAAGUUCUUUUAUUAGGAAGAAUAUCACGGAUAGGAAAUGAUCUGUGAGUGACGGUACUUAAUGAAUAAGCCCCGGCUAACUAUGUGCCAGCCGCGGC